GUGAGGAAUAUUGCGCAAUGGAGGCAACUCUGACGCAGCCAUGCCGCGUGCAGGAAGAAGGCGCUACGCGUUGUAAACUGCUUUUAACCGGGAAGAAACCCCAGGACGUGUCCUGGGUUGACGGUACCGGAGGAAUAAGCACCGGCUAACUUCGUGCCAGCAGCCGCGGUAUACGAAGGGUGCAAGCGUUAUCCGGAUUCAUUGGGUUUAAAGGGUGCGUAGGCGGAGCGUUAAGUCAGUGGUGAAAUCCUGCAGCUUAACUGUAGACUUGCCAUUGAUACUGGCGCUCUUGAGUGCGCUUGAAGUGGGCGGAAUGUGCCGUGUAGCGGUGAAAUGCUUAGAUAUGGCACAGAACACCAAUUGCGAAGGCAGCUCACUAAGGCGAUACUGACGCUGAGGCACGAAAGCGUGGGGAUCGAACAGGAUUAGAUACCCUGGUAGUCC
rnacentral:rRNA from 1 species